rnacentral:tRNA from 1 species
AAAAUCCGUCGACUUUAUAAAUCGC